rnacentral:rRNA from 1 species
AACGAACGCUGGCGGCAUGCCUAACACAUGCAAGUCGAACGAGACCUUCGGGUCUAGUGGCGCACGGGUGCGUAACGCGUGGGAACCUGCCCUUAGGUUCGGAAUAACUCCCCGAAAGGGGUGCUAAUACCGGAUAAUGUCUUCGGACCAAAGAUUUAUCGCCUUUGGAUGGGCCCGCGUUGGAUUAGCUAGUUGGUAGGGUAAAAGCCUACCAAGGCGACGAUCCAUAGCUGGUCUGAGAGGAUGAUCAGCCACACUGGGACUGAGACACGGCCCAGACUCCUACGGGAGGCAGCAGUGGGGAAUAUUGGACAAUGGGCGAAAUCCUGAUCCAGCAAUGCCGCGUGAGUGAUGAAGGCCUGAGGGUUGUAAAGCUCGUUUACCCGGGAUGAUAAUGACAGUACCGGGAGAAUAAGCUCCGGCUAACUCCGUG